rnacentral:lncRNA from 1 species
GCAUUAUUCAAAAGAAAACCAGGAGGCAGCGACAAUUCUUGAUUCUUGCAGAUAAACAUUCUCCAACAACUAUUAAGAGUUGGAUUGCUCUACCUUCAUUUAAUUCCUUGGUGCUUUACUAUUUGAAUCUAGAAUAUUCUUGAAGUCUGAAAGAUGGAUAGAAAAGAGGUAAGUCAUGUAAACUUAUAAACAGGGCACGAACCCCGCUAACAGACAGCUUUGAAGAGAUGAUGAUUUUAGAUCUUGUGAAUUGUUAUGUCAGAGGAAUACAUGCAGAAGAAAACAGGCACCGAAAUAGUUAUUACCAGAGCAAAGUAAAUCUGAACACCUAAAAGAAUAAGAAAGUAUCUUAUGCUUCUCUCUACUCUGAACUGCCUUGAAAAGAGCAAGAAUUUCAUACAUGAGCCUGUAGCACAUUACAAAAUCUGAGUAUGUAUUUGAAAUUCAAAUGCACACAAAGUUCAUGCAUUUUAUUUUCCAGUUGUUCUCAAGACUCCUAAAUAAAGCAUUUCCCCUGUGUGGGCGACCCCUGGGUCCCAUGUGGGGUCAGUGUUUGGGUCUCUCUGAGAGGAUCAGGAAGGCUGCUCUUCCAGGAAGGGCUGCAGGGACCCUGGGAACCGGACCAGUCCAGCUCACAAGUAUGAAGAGAAUGUCGGGAGAGGAAGUGGUGGCUAUGAGUCAGCAUGAGUCAUCUCGUUCCAAUGAGAAUGAAGGCUGAGACAAGCGGUGCCUGAGCCCGUGCCUGUCUUCAGAUCUUCACAGCACAGUUCCUGGGAAGGUGGAGCCACCAGCCUCUCCCUGAAUAACUGGGAGAUGAAACAGGAAGCUCUAUGACACACUUGAUCGAAUAUGACAGACACUGAAAAUCACGACUCAUCCCCCUCCAGCACCUCUACCUGUUGCCCGCCGAUCACAGCCGGAAUGCAGCUGAAAGAUUCCCUGGGGCCUGGUUCCAACUGCCCACUGUGGACUCUGAGGCCUCUGCAUUUGCGGGUGGUCUGCCUGUGAUAUUUUGGUCAUGGGCUGGUCUGGUCGGUUUCCCAUUUGUCUGGCCAGUCUCUGUGUGUCUUAAUCCCUUGUCCUUCAUUAAAAGCAAAACUAAAGAAAACAGAA